AUAUUGGACAAUGGGCGCAAGCCUGAUCCAGCCAUGCCGCGUGAGUGAUGAAGGCCUUAGGGUUGUAAUGCUCUUUUAGCGGGGAAGAUAAUGACGGUACCCGCAGAAUAAGCCCCGGCUAACUUCGUUCCAGCAGCCGCGGUAAUACGAAGGGGGCUAGCGUUGUUCGGAAUUACUGGGCGUAAAGCGCACGUAGGCGGAUUGACAAGUUAGGGGUGAAAUCCCGGGGCUCAACCUCGGAACUGCCUUUGAUACUGUCAGUCUAGAGUCCGGAAGAGGUGGGUGGAAUUCCUAGUGUAGAGGUGAAAUUCGCAGAUAUUAGGAAGAACACCGGUGGCGAAGGCGGCCCACUGGUCCGGAACUGACGCUGAGGUGCGAAAGCGUGGGGAGCAAACAGG
rnacentral:rRNA from 1 species